UAGAGACGAGGUGAAUCAUCGAAUCUUUGAACGCAAUUUGCACCGGGUGAUGCAUGUCAUCCGGUAUACUUGUUUGAGUAUCUGAAACUACCUCACACUCCCCUCGGGGCGGUGUGGACUGUAUGAGCUUCUUGCUUUGCUGCAAGUCUCUCUAAAGAUAUGGGUCUCUUUCCUUUACGGGAAAGUAGGACUGCCUCUGCCUGAACAUGGUUUAGACUAUUGGGAUAACAUCCUAACAAUCGUCGCCAGGUUACCUCUCACGAGGAAGGGCAUUGACAGACUGACUAGACCUGAACGGAUUUAGCUUGCCUAAACAGCGAGCGCAAGUCCACGGAAUGCCUUACCGCAAACCCGUUCUCUAGAUCUCAAAUCAAGUAAGGAUACCCGCUGAACUUAAGCAUAUCAAUAAGCGGAGG
rnacentral:rRNA from 1 species